rnacentral:lncRNA from 1 species
UCCACUCCGGGUUUUCCCAGGGAUCGGAGGCAUCGGGGAAAACCCGAUGUGGAAUCCGGUGGCGGCUGGGCCAGAGGUGACGAGGGGGGGGGACACACCGGGGUUGUCACCCCCCCGCACUUACUGCCCCAGCGUGGCCUGGUCCUCGGGGUCCCUGUCGUGGAACUCCAUGAUGUCCAGCAGGCUCUGCACGUACCUGGGGAAGGAACUGGUCACCCCCCCCGAAAUUGGGGGCACCGGGGGGGGUCCCCACUGCAGGGCGAGGGGCUCAGCACCCCCCCGGAGCGAGCGCUGCCCCAUGAAGCCACUUUGGAGGGGGGCAGGGGGGAACCAUGCUUGCCCCAUAGCACGGUGGCCCUGGGGACGGUGGGGACACAGCCCUGGGGUGGGUGUGGGGGUCCCAGCGAUGUGUCCCCCCCCCCCAGUUCACGUGCUUUGGGAGAGGGGCCGGGCCUGAUCCUGCCACCCGCCCCCCCCCCGUCCCAAAAGUCCCAAAGCUCUCAGGGCUGGCACGGGGAGGCCAGCAGCAAACAGCCCAUCACGUGGCCGCGCUGGGAGAAGGUUCAAGCUGCCACCAGCUGGCAGGGGGACGUGGCCCUUAAAGGGACACCCAGAGCCUGUCCCCCACACCCCCAGGGACACCCCUCCGCCCCCCCCCCCAGCCACCAGGGCUGGCUUGGUCCCUUCAGGGGGCACGAGGCUGCGGAGGGGCUGGGGACCCCCCCCAGCCCCGUGCUGGCAGCAGGUGACGUGUCCCCAAGCUGGCCUGCAGCCCGUGCCACCAAAGGGCUGGGUGCCACCCGUGCCCUGUCCUCAUCCCCGUGCCACCCCCCUGCCCCCCCCCGCCCCCCAGCAGCACCCUCCGGAUCUGCUGGGGACAAGAGCUGGUGGCAGGAGCGGCGGUGGCAGCGGGACCAGGGGGGGCACCCAGGCAGGUGGUGGCGGUGGGGUCACCCUUGGGGGGACAGCGGUGGGAGCUUGGGGACAAUAGCGGGACCCGUGGUUGGGACCCAUGGUGACAACGGUGGGACCCGCGGUGACAAUAGUAGGACCCGUGGUGACAGUGACGGGAGAUAG